UACGUAGGGUGCAAGCGUUAUCCGGAAUUAUUGGGCGUAAAGAGCUCGUAGGCGGUCUGUCACGUCGGCUGUGAAAACCCGGGGCUCAACCCCGGCCUGCAGUCGAUACGGGCAGACUGGAGUCCGCAGGGGAGACUGGAAUUCCCGGUGUAGCGGUGAAAUGCGCAGAUAUCGGGAGGAACACCGGUGGCCGAAGGCGGGUCUCUGGGCCGGUACUGACGCUGAGGAGCGAAAGCGUGGGGAGCGAACAGGAUAGAA
rnacentral:rRNA from 1 species